rnacentral:rRNA from 1 species
UGGGGAAUAUUGCACAAUGGGCGAAAGCCUUAUGCAGCGACGCCGCGUGAGGGAUGACGGCCUUCGGGUUGUAAACCUCUUUCAGUAGGGACGAAGCGCAAGUGACGGUACCUGCAGAAGAAGCACCGGCUAACUACGUGCUAGCAGCCGCGGUAAUACGUAGGGUGCGAGCGUAGUCUGGAAUUACUGGGCGUAAAGAGCUCGUAGGCGGUUUGUCACGUCGUCUGUGAAAUCCUAGGGCUUAACCCUGGACGUGCAGGGGAUACGGGCUGACUUGAGUACUACCAGGGGGACUGGAAUUUCUGGUGUAGCGGUAGAAUUCACAGAUGUCGGGAAGAGCACCGAUGGCGGAGGCGAGGCUCUGGGUAGUAACUGACGCUGAAGAGCAGAAGCGUGGGUAGCGAACGGG